AUUGAACGCUGGCGGCAGGCCUAACACAUGCAAGUCGAGCGGAGCGGCGGACGGGUGAGUAAUGUAUGGGGAUCUGCCCGAUAGAGGGGGAUAACGUCCGGAAACGGGCGCUAAUACCGCAUACUAUCAGAUGAGCCUAGGUCGGAUUAGCUAGUUGGUGGGGUAAAGGCCUACCAAGGCGACGAUCCGUAACUGGUCUGAGAGGAUGAUCAGUCACACUGGAACUGAGACACGGUCCAGACUCCUACGGGAGGCAGCAGUGGGGAAUAUUGGACAAUGGGUGAAAGCCUGAUCCAGCCAUGCCGCGUGUGUGAAGAAGGUCUUCGGAUUGUAAAGCACUUUAAGUUGGGAGGCGUUACCCGCAGAAGAAGCACCGGCUAACUACGUGCCAGCAGCCGCGGUAAUAC
rnacentral:rRNA from 1 species